AGAACGAACGCUGGCGGCAGGCUUAACACAUGCAAGUCGAACGGUUGUAGCAAUACAGCAGUGGCAGACGGGUGAGUAACACGUGGGAACCUUCCUAGGGGUACGGAACAACUCAGGGAAACUUGAGCUAAUACCGUAUACGUCCGUAAGGAGAAAGAUUCAUCGCCCCUAGACGGGCCCGCGUAGGAUUAGGUAGUUGGUGAGGUAACGGCUCACCAAGCCUACGAUCCUUAGCUGAUCUGAGAGGAUGAUCAGCCACACUGGGACUGAGACACGGCCCAGACUCCUACGGGAGGCAGCAGUGGGGAAUCGUUGGACAAUGGGCGCAAGCCUGAUCCAGCCAUGCCGCGUGAGUGAAGAAGGCCGUUCGGGUGUAAAGCUCUUUACCGAGGGACGAGUAAUGACGUACCUGGAGAAGUAAGCCCGGACAACGUUCGUCGCCAGC
rnacentral:rRNA from 1 species